GGUGGAAAUAAACAAGCAGAGGGUUGUUUGUGGCGCAAUAACCGACCUCCCUAAGUGAGGAGUAGUCUGCAGAUGAGCACGUUAAUGCAAAUCAGCGGCAUACCCCUCAGAAAAGGUCGUCAGUCAUUGAAAUACAGCAUUUCUAAGCGUCCUUUUCCAAAACGGUGUCCGUGAGUUAACAGUAUAGACAGAAUGAGUCUGAGUUUGCGUCAGGAACUGGCAGCUUCUCCUGAGUCAUGGAGUUUGGGUGGUAGAAUAAUCUAGAAUGGAGAGCUUCUGACGGAUAGGAUGACUUCAUUUGGAGGUUCUAGCAAUUGCCAGAACCAAGUUAGUCAUACAGCUUCCUGGUUUAAUGUUUUCCCAAAGUGAGGCAUUUGGUAACCUCAACAAAGCAAAAUGUUUUCAGAAGGAAGACAAGUGCUGUCCUUGUAAAACAAGGUGACUUUUGGAAAACCCUUAAAUUGGGGGGCUGAUUGCAUGGAAACCAAGCAUGUUGGAAGGUUCCAAAUGUUUGCCCUACUUCCCCAUCCCUGGGGAAGGGGAAAGGGACUGGAGAUUGAAUUAAUCAUCAAUGGCCAAUGAUUUCAUCGAUCUUGCCUAUGGAAUGAAGCCUCUAUAAAAAUCGCAAAAGUCAUGGGUUUGCAGACCCUCUGGUUGGUGGACAGAUGGAGGUGGGAGAGUGGUGUGCCCAGAGGGAGCAUGGAACUCUGUACCUUCACCUGCCUUGCCCAAUGCGUCUCUUCCGUUUGGCUGUUCCUGACUUAGGUCCUUUGUAAUAAACUGGUAAUCUAGUGUUUCUACCAAGAGAGAAAUCUUUGACCUGCUCUGUCAGAAGCCAUUCUUGUUACAGUAAGACUAUAAUAAAAUCUUAGUGCAUGCUCAUAAUUUAAUGGUCUGAAGAGAUUUGUAAACGUUUUGUAUCCUAGGGAAGCCUUUGUGCACGUCUGUAAGGAGAUAGGAACAAGAAUGUUUAUAUCAGCAUUGUUUACGGUAGCCAAAACUAAACAAAUAUAUAUAC